CNUUCUCAAUAAACUACUUCC
rnacentral:tRNA from 1 species